AAAAAGAAAAUUUCUUCAAAUAUCAAAGGAUUAAUAUUCAACAGCAUACUGAAUUGCUCAAAAGCAAAAAAAAAACAUUUUUAGUUCAUUAGACCACAUUCAUUCUGUGUCAGAAACCUAUGCUGUGUCAACUAUUUAAUCACAAUCCAAAUUCAGAGCUGUAUCCAGUUUGAAUGUUGUGUCCAUACUAGCCCCAACCGUUCAGGGUCUCGACCUCUGCGGUCGUAUAAAGCUGCGCC
rnacentral:lncRNA from 1 species